GACGAACGCUGGCGGCGUGCCUAAUACAUGCAAGUAGAACGCACAGUUUAUACCGUAGCUUGCUACACCAUAGACUGUGAGUUGCGAACGGGUGAGUAACGCGUAGGUAACCUGCCUGGUAGCGGGGGAUAACUAUUGGAAACGAUAGCUAAUACCGCAUAAUAUUAAUUAUUGCAUGAUAAUUAAUUGAAAGGUGCAAUUGCACCACUACCAGAUGGACCUGCGUUGUAUUAGCUAGUAGGUGAGGUAACGGCUCACCUAGGCGACGAUACAUAGCCGACCUGAGAGGGUGAUCGGCCACACUGGGACUGAGACACGGCCCAGACUCCUACGGGAGGCAGCAGUAGGGAAUCUUCGGCAAUGGACGAAAGUCUGACCGAGCAACGCCGCGUGAGUGAAGAAGGGUUUCGGAUCGUAAAGCUCUGUUGUAAGAGAAGAACGGGUGUGAGAGUGGAAAGUUCACACUGUGACGGUAUCUUACCAGAAAGGGACGGCUAACUUCGUG
rnacentral:rRNA from 1 species